AUUGAACGCUGGCGGCAUGCUUUACACAUGCAAGUCGAACGGUAACAGGCCUUCGGGUGCUGACGAGUGGCGAACGGGUGAGUAAUGCAACGGAACGUACCCAGUGGUGGGGGAUAACGCAGCGAAAGCUGUGCUAAUACCUCAUGUGAUCUGAGGAUGAAAGCGGGGGACCGCGCAGCAAUGUUUGGCCUCGCGCCUUUGGAGCGGCCGAUGUCGGAUUAGCUAGUUGGGGGGGUAAAGGCCUACCAAGGCGACGAUCCGUAGCUGGUCUGAGAGGACGACCAGCCACACUGGGACUGAGACACGGCCCAGACUCCUACGGGAGGCAGCAGUGGGGAAUUUUGGACAAUGGGCGCAAGCCUGAUCCAGCAAUGCCGCGUGCGGGAAGAAGGCCUUCGGGUUGUAAACCGCUGUUGGCAGGAACGAAACGGUGUCCGCUAAUACCGGGAGCUAAUGACGGUACCUGCAGAAUAAGCACCGGCUAACUACGUG
rnacentral:rRNA from 1 species